rnacentral:rRNA from 1 species
CCUACGGGUGGCAGCAGUGAGGAAUAUUGGUCAAUGGGCGCGAGCCUGAACCAGCCAAGUCGCGUGAGGGAAGAAGGUCCUAUGGCUUGUAAACCUCUUUUGUCGGGGAGCAAAAGACGCCACGCGUGGCGUUCCGUGAGUACCCGAAGAAAAAGCAUCGGCUAACUCAGUGCCAGCAGCCGCGGUAAUACGGAGGAUGCGAGCGUUAUCCGGAUUUAUUGGGUUUAAGGGGUGCGCAGGCGGAAGAUCAAGUCAGCGGGAAAAUUGAGAGGCUCAACCUCGUCGAGCCGUUGAAACUGGUUUGCGUGAGUAUGCUAGAAGUAUGCGGAAUGCGUGGUGUAGCGGUGAAAUGCAUAGAUAUCACGCAGAACUCCGAUUGCGAAGGCAGCAUACCGGCGCACAACUGACGCUCAUGCACGAAAGUGUGGGUAUCGAACAGGAUUAGAGACCCGAGUAGUC